rnacentral:rRNA from 1 species
GCGGAAUGCUUUACACAUGCAAGUCGAACGGCAGCACGGGUGCUUGCACCUGGUGGCGAGUGGCGAACGGGUGAGUAAUAUAUCGGAACGUAUCCAAUAAUGGGGGAUAACUAACCGAAAGGUUGGCUAAUACCGCAUACGCCCUACGGGGGAAAGCAGGGGAUCUUCGGACCUUGCGUUGAUGGAGCGGCCGAUAUCUGAUUAGCUAGUUGGUGGGGUAAAGGCCCACCAAGGCGACGAUCAGUAGCUGGUCUGAGAGGACGACCAGCCACACUGGAACUGAGACACGGUCCAGACUCCUACGGGAGGCAGCAGUGGGGAAUUUUGGACAAUGGGGGCAACCCUGAUCCAGCCAUUCCGCGUGAGUGAAGAAGCCUUCGGGUUGUAAAGCUCUUUCGCAAGGGAAGAAAAUUAGUCUCUAACAUAGGCUGAAGCUGACGGUACCUUGAUAAGAAGCACCGGCUAACUACGUGCCA